rnacentral:rRNA from 1 species
GACGAACGCUGGCGGCGUGCUUAACACAUGCAAGUCGAACGAUGAAGCUAGAGCUUGCUCUGGUGAAUUAGUGGCGAACGGGUGAGUAACACGUGAGUAACCUGCCCCGAACUCUGGGAUAACUGCUGGAAACGGUAGCUAAUACUGGAUACGAACUACGAAGGCAUCUUCUGUAGGGGGAAAGAAUUUAGGUUCGGGAUGGACUCGCGGCCUAUCAGCUUGUUGGUGAGGUAAUGGCUCACCAAGGCGACGACGGGUAGCCGGCCUGAGAGGGUGACCGGCCACACUGGGACUGAGACACGGCCCAGACUCCUACGGGAGGCAGCAGUGGGGAAUAUUGCACAAUGGGCGCAAGCCUGAUGCAGCAACGCCGCGUGAGGGAUGACGGCCUUCGGGUUGUAAACCUCUUUUAGUAGGGAAGAAGCGAAAGUGACGGUACCUGCAGAAAAAGCACCGGCUAACUACGUGCCAGCCGCCGCGGUAA